rnacentral:rRNA from 1 species
UACAGAGGGUGCGAGCGUUGUUCGGAAUUACUGGGCGUAAAGGGCGCGUAGGCGGCCUGUUAAGUCGAACGUGAAAUCCCCCGGGCUCAACCCGGGAACUGCGUCCGAUACUGGCAGGCUUGAAUCCGGGAGAGGGAUGCGGAAUUCCAGGUGUAGCGGUGAAAUGCGUAGAUAUCUGGAGGAACACCGGUGGCGAAGGCGGCAUCCUGGACCGGUAUUGACGCUGAGGCGCGAAAGCCAGGGGAGCAAACGGG